rnacentral:rRNA from 1 species
UGCCAGCCGCCGCGGUAAGACGAACCGUCCAAACGUUAUUCGGUAUCACUGGGCUUAAAGAGUUCGUAGGCGGCUAUGUAGGUCAGAUGUGAAAUCCCACGGCUCAACCGUGGAACUGCGUUUGAAACCACAUAGCUUGAGGGAGAUAGAGGUGAGCGGAACAGAUGGUGGAGCGGUGAAAUGCGUUGAUAUCAUCUGGAACACCGGUGGCGAAAGCGGCUCACUGGAUCUCUUCUGACGCUGAGGAACGAAAGCUAGGGUAGCGAACGGGAUUAGAUA